UGUAUAUAAAUCUUCAAAUUUACACGAUAAGAGCGAAUGAAUUAACUUACGCGAAAGAGAUUUCUUUUUCUAAUUUGCGCAUGCGUAUGAGGCCGACAUUUCGAAUUUAUUUGCGCCAAUAUGAUUACCACAACAAGUUAACAGUUGCUCGAAGCAGUGCAAAAUGUCUUCACCAAUAAACCCAUGUCUGAAAAAUACAUGACGGGUAAAAAGAAUAAACAUGCCUUUGGUGGUUCAAGCUUUUUUGAAAUAAUAAGAGAUGCUAUAUAGCUACAAGUCACAAAUGUGCAACAUGGACAAUAAUAUGGAACUAGUGUGCAAUAUACCUAAAAUACGCCCUGAAAUAUCGGGAAUGUGUCUAGCAAAAGGAUAAACAUUUUAAAUAAAAUUAAGUAUUCA